CGGGAUAGCUCAGUUGGUAGAGCAGAGGACUGAAAAUCCUCGUGUCGCCC
rnacentral:tRNA from 1 species